UUAAGUAAGAAAGGGCGUACGGUGGAUGCCUAGGCACUUGAAACUGAAGAAGGACGCAACAAACGGCGAAACGCGGCGGGGAGCUGUACGUAAGCAAAGAUCCGCCGGUAUCCGAAUGGGGGAACCCGGCAUGCGUAAUAGCAUGUCAUCCGCAGAUGAACAAAUAGUCUGCGAGAGAGGUACCCGGGGAACUGAAACAUCUAAGUACCCGGAGGAAAAGAAAACAACAGUGAUUCCCUGAGUAGCGGCGAGCGAAAGGGGAGGAGCCCAAACCAGACCGAGGUCUGGGGUUGAAGGACCGCGAUACGGCAAGAAUCAUGGUAGGAGAACGGCAUUGAAAGGCCGACCGGAGAGGGUGCAAGUCCCGUAUCCGAAACCGUGAGGAAGCCCAGCGGGAUCCUGAGUACGGCGAGACACGAGAAAUCUUGUCGGAAGCAGGCGGGACCAUCCGUCAAGGCUAAAUAUAAGCAAGUGACCGAUAGUGAACCAGUACCGUGAGGGAAAGGUGAAAAGAACCGCGGGAGCGGAGUGAAAUAGAACCUGAAACCGUAUGCUUACAAGAAGUCAGAGCACGUUAAGGUGUGAUGGCGUGCCUUUUGUAGAAUGAACCGGCGAGUUAUGUUAUCGUGCGAGGUUAAGCAGGAGAUGCGGAGCCGAAGCGAAAGCGAGUCUUAAUAGGGCGGCAGUACGAUGACAUAGACCCGAAACCGUGUGAUCUAGCCAUGACCAGGUUGAAGUUCAGGUGAAACUGAAUGGAGGACCGAACCGACCCCCGUUGAAAAGUUGGCGGAUGAGUUGUGGCUAGGGGAGAAAUUCCAAUCGAACACGGAUAUAGCUGGUUCUCCCCGAAAUAGCUUUAGGGCUAGCGUCGAGGAUGAGUCUUGUGGAGGUAGAGCACUGAAUGUACGAUGGCCCCAUCCCGGGGUACUGAGUAUAAUCAAACUCCGAAUGCCAUGAGAUAUUCCCGGCAGUCAGACCGUGGGUGAUAAGGUCCAUGGUCAAAAGGGAAACAGCCCAGACCGCCAGUUAAGGUCCCAAAAUGUAUGCUAAGUGGAAAAGGAUGUGGGGAUGCACAGACAACUAGGAGGUUGGCUCAGAAGCAGCCAUCCUUCAAAGAGUGCGUAACAGCUCACUAGUCGAGUGACCCUGCGCCGAAAAUGUACCGGGGCUAAGCAUACUACCGAAGCUGCGGAUUUGUAGUAAUACAAGUGGUAGGGGAGCGUUCCAUGCACGUGGAAGCCAUACCGAAAGGAGUGGUGGAGAGCAUGGAAGUGAGAAUGCCGGUGUGAGUAGCGAGAUGCAGGUGAGAAUCCUGCACACCGAUAGCCCAAGGAUUCCAGGGGAAGGUUCGUCCGCCCUGGGUAAGUCGGGACCUAAGGCGAGGCCGAAAGGCGUAGUCGAUGGAAAACAGGCAGAUAUUCCUGUACCCGCGAUGGAAAUGAAGGAAUGACGGAGAAGGCUAGCAUGAGCCACUUAUUGGAUUGUGGUCGAAGCGAAUAGCAGGUGCAUAGUAAAAUGCGUGCACGGAAUGUAAAACGUGAUAGGUAAGCGAAACCUUUGGGGAGUAGCGAAGCAUGCGAGGCCAGCUUCCAGGAAAAGUUUCUAGUGCUGAUUCCAUAGCGGCCCGUACCAAAACCGACACAGGUGGGCAAGGAGAGUAUCCUGAGGUGAGCGAGAGAACUGUUGCCAAGGAACUCGGCAAAAUGACUCCGUAAGUUAGCGAGAAGGAGUGCUUAUGAAAGUAAGCCGCAGUGAAGAGGCCCAAGCGACUGUUUAACUAAAACACAGCUCUCUGCGAAGUCGCAAGACGAAGUAUAGGGGGUGACGCCUGCCCGGUGCUGGAAGGUUAAGAGGAUAUGUUAGUCGCAAGACGAAGCAUUGAAUUGAAGCCCCAGUGAACGGCGGCCGUAACUAUAACGGUCCUAAGGUAGCGAAAUUCCUUGUCAGGUAAG
rnacentral:rRNA from 1 species